rnacentral:rRNA from 1 species
AGUGGAUGGGGAGCAACCUAGUUGUGCGUGUGUAAAGGUAGUGCCAAGAAAAGCGAUGAUCAUGUUGAAAAUCAAUUCCCGGUACCCGAAACCGACACAGGUGGGCAAGUAGAGAAUACUAAGGGGCGCGAGGUAACUCUCUCCAAGGAACUCGGCAAAAUGACCCCGUAACUUAGGGAGAAGGGGUGCCACCGAGAGGUGGUCGCAGUGAAGAGGCCCAGGCGACUGUUUAGCAAAAACAUAGGUCUCUGCAAACUCGAAAGAGGAGGUAUAGGGGCUGACGCCUGCCCAGUGCCGGAAGGUUAAAGAAGUUGGUCAGUUUUAGGAUGAAGCUAGCGACUGAAGCCCCGGUGAACGGCGGCCGUAACUAUAACGGUCCUAAGGUAGCGAAAUUCCUUGUCGGGUAAGUUCCGACCCGCACGAAAGGCGUAACGAUCUGGGCGCUGUCUCGGAGAGAGGCUCGGCGAAAUAGGAUUGUCUGUGAAGAUACGGACUACCUGCAUUUGGACAGAAAGACCCUAUGAAGCUUUACUAUAGCUUGGAAUUGUGUUCGGGCUUCCUGUGCGCAGGAUAGGUGGGAGGCGUAGAAGGUAUUCUUGUGGGGAUACUGGAGCCAACGGUGAGAUACCACUCUCAGGAGGCUAGAAUUCUAACUUAAUUAAGGACAGUUUCAGGUGGGUAGUUUGACUGGGGCGGUCGCCUCCAAAAAGGUAACGGAGGCGUACAAAGGUUCCCUCAGACUGGUUGGAAAUCAGUCGAAGAGUGCAAAGGCAGAAGGGAGCUUGACUGCGAGAAGAACAGUUCGAGCAGGGUGGAAACACGGUCUUAGUGAUCCGACGGUGCUGUGUGGAAGGGCCGUCGCUCAACGGAUAAAAGUUACUCUAGGAUAACAGGCUGAUCUCCCCCAAGAGUUCACAUCGACGGGGAGGUUUGGCACCUCGAUGUCGGCUCAUCGCAACCUGGGGCGGAAGUACGUCCCAAGGGUUGGGCUGUUCGCCCAUUAAAGCGGUACGUGAGCUGGGUUCAGAACGUCGUGAGACAGUUCGGUCCAUAUCCGAUGUAGGCGUGAGAAUAUUGAGAGGAGCCUUCCUUAGUACGAGAGGACCGGGAAGGACGCACCGCUGGUGUACCUGUUAUGAUGCCAAUUGUAAACGCAGGGUAGCCAAGUGCGGAGAGGAUAACCGCUGAAAGCAUCUAAGUGGGAAGCCCACCUCAAGAUGAGUAUUCUGGUGUAAGGUCACGGGAAGACGACCCGUAAAUAGGCACGAGGUGGAAGUGCAGAGAUGUAUGAAGCCGAAGUGUACUAAUAGACCGUCGGCUUGAC